rnacentral:rRNA from 1 species
GACGAACGCUGGCGGCGUGCCUAAUACAUGCAAGUCGAGCGAUGAAGCUUGGUGCUUGCACCCAUUUGAAGAGCAGCGAGCGGGUGAGUAACGCGUGGGGAAUCUGCCUUUGAGCGGGGGACAACAUCUGGAAACGAAUGCUAAUACCGCAUAACAACUUUAAACAUAAGUUUUAAGUUUGAAAGAUGCAAUUGCAUCACUCAAAGAUGAUCCCGCGUUUUAUUAGCUAGUUGGUGAGGUAAAGGCUCACCAAGGCGAUGAUACAUAGCCGACCUGAGUGGGUGAUCGGCCACAAUGGGACUGGAGCACGGCCCAAACUCCUACGGGGAGCAGCAGUAGGGGAACUUCGGAAAUGGACGGAAGUCUGACCGAGCAACGCCGCGGGAGUGAAGAAAGGUUUCGGGUCGGAAAACUCUGUUGGUAGGGAAGGAAGUGGGGGAGAGUGGAAAGCUCAUCAAGUGACGGUAACUAACCAGAAAGGGACGGCUAACUACGUG